UUAAGCGACUAAGCGUACACGGUGGAUGCCCUGGCAGUCAGAGGCGAUGAAGGACGUGCUAAUCUGCGAUAAGCGUCGGUAAGGUGAUAUGAACCGUUAUAACCGGCGAUUUCCGAAUGGGGAAACCCAGUGUGUUUCGACACACUAUCAUUAACUGAAUCCAUAGGUUAAUGAGGCGAACCGGGGGAACUGAAACAUCUAAGUACCCCGAGGAAAAGAAAUCAACCGAGAUUCCCCCAGUAGCGGCGAGCGAACGGGGAGCAGCCCAGAGCCUGAAUCAGUGUGUGUGUUAGUGGAAGCGUCUGGAAAGGCGUGCGAUACAGGGUGACAGCCCCGUACACAAAAAUGCACAUGCUGUGAGCUCGAUGAGUAGGGCGGGACACGUGGUAUCCUGUCUGAAUAUGGGGGGACCAUCCUCCAAGGCUAAAUACUCCUGACUGACCGAUAGUGAACCAGUACCGUGAGGGAAAGGCGAAAAGAACCCCGGCGAGGGGAGUGAAAAAGAACCUGAAACCGUGUACGUACAAGCAGUGGGAGCACGCUUAGGCGUGUGACUGCGUACCUUUUGUAUAAUGGGUCAGCGACUUAUAUUCUGUAGCAAGGUUAACCGAAUAGGGGAGCCGAAGGGAAACCGAGUCUUAACUGGGCGUUAAGUUGCAGGGUAUAGACCCGAAACCCGGUGAUCUAGCCAUGGGCAGGUUGAAGGUUGGGUAACACUAACUGGAGGACCGAACCGACUAAUGUUGAAAAAUUAGCGGAUGACUUGUGGCUGGGGGUGAAAGGCCAAUCAAACCGGGAGAUAGCUGGUUCUCCCCGAAAGCUAUUUAGGUAGCGCCUCGUGAAUUCAUCUCCGGGGGUAGAGCACUGUUUCGGCAAGGGGGUCAUCCCGACUUACCAACCCGAUGCAAACUGCGAAUACCGGAGAAUGUUAUCACGGGAGACACACGGCGGGUGCUAACGUCCGUCGUGAAGAGGGAAACAACCCAGACCGCCAGCUAAGGUCCCAAAGUCAUGGUUAAGUGGGAAACGAUGUGGGAAGGCCCAGACAGCCAGGAUGUUGGCUUAGAAGCAGCCAUCAUUUAAAGAAAGCGUAAUAGCUCACUGGUCGAGUCGGCCUGCGCGGAAGAUGUAACGGGGCUAAACCAUGCACCGAAGCUGCGGCAGCGACGCUUAUGCGUUGUUGGGUAGGGGAGCGUUCUGUAAGCCUGCGAAGGUGUACUGUGAGGUAUGCUGGAGGUAUCAGAAGUGCGAAUGCUGACAUAAGUAACGAUAAAGCGGGUGAAAAGCCCGCUCGCCGGAAGACCAAGGGUUCCUGUCCAACGUUAAUCGGGGCAGGGUGAGUCGACCCCUAAGGCGAGGCCGAAAGGCGUAGUCGAUGGGAAACAGGUUAAUAUUCCUGUACUUGGUGUUACUGCGAAGGGGGGACGGAGAAGGCUAUGUUGGCCGGGCGACGGUUGUCCCGGUUUAAGCGUGUAGGCUGGUUUUCCAGGCAAAUCCGGAAAAUCAAGGCUGAGGCGUGAUGACGAGGCACUACGGUGCUGAAGCAACAAAUGCCCUGCUUCCAGGAAAAGCCUCUAAGCAUCAGGUAACAUCAAAUCGUACCCCAAACCGACACAGGUGGUCAGGUAGAGAAUACCAAGGCGCUUGAGAGAACUCGGGUGAAGGAACUAGGCAAAAUGGUGCCGUAACUUCGGGAGAAGGCACGCUGAUAUGUAGGUGAAGUCCCUCGCGGAUGGAGCUGAAAUCAGUCGAAGAUACCAGCUGGCUGCAACUGUUUAUUAAAAACACAGCACUGUGCAAACACGAAAGUGGACGUAUACGGUGUGACGCCUGCCCGGUGCCGGAAGGUUAAUUGAUGGGGUUAGCCGCAAGGCGAAGCUCUUGAUCGAAGCCCCGGUAAACGGCGGCCGUAACUAUAACGGUCCUAAGGUAGCGAAAUUCCUUGUCGGGUAAGUUCCGACCUGCACGAAUGGCGUAAUGAUGGCCAGGCUGUCUCCACCCGAGACUCAGUGAAAUUGAACUCGCUGUGAAGAUGCAGUGUACCCGCGGCAAGACGGAAAGACCCCGUGAACCUUUACUAUAGCUUGACACUGAACAUUGAGCCUUGAUGUGUAGGAUAGGUGGGAGGCUUUGAAGUGUGGACGCCAGUCUGCAUGGAGCCGACCUUGAAAUACCACCCUUUAAUGUUUGAUGUUCUAACGUUGACCCGUAAUCCGGGUUGCGGACAGUGUCUGGUGGGUAGUUUGACUGGGGCGGUCUCCUCCUAAAGAGUAACGGAGGAGCACGAAGGUUGGCUAAUCCUGGUCGGACAUCAGGAGGUUAGUGCAAUGGCAUAAGCCAGCUUGACUGCGAGCGUGACGGCGCGAGCAGGUGCGAAAGCAGGUCAUAGUGAUCCGGUGGUUCUGAAUGGAAGGGCCAUCGCUCAACGGAUAAAAGGUACUCCGGGGAUAACAGGCUGAUACCGCCCAAGAGUUCAUAUCGACGGCGGUGUUUGGCACCUCGAUGUCGGCUCAUCACAUCCUGGGGCUGAAGUAGGUCCCAAGGGUAUGGCUGUUCGCCAUUUAAAGUGGUACGCGAGCUGGGUUUAGAACGUCGUGAGACAGUUCGGUCCCUAUCUGCCGUGGGCGCUGGAGAACUGAGGGGGGCUGCUCCUAGUACGAGAGGACCGGAGUGGACGCAUCACUGGUGUUCGGGUUGUCAUGCCAAUGGCACUGCCCGGUAGCUAAAUGCGGAAGAGAUAAGUGCUGAAAGCAUCUAAGCACGAAACUUGCCCCGAGAUGAGUUCUCCCUGACUCCUUGAGAGUCCUGAAGGAACGUUGAAGACGACGACGUUGAUAGGCCGGGUGUGUAAGCGCAGCGAUGCGUUGAGCUAACCGGUACUAAUGAACCGUGAGGCUUAACCUU
rnacentral:rRNA from 1 species